CUUGUAGUAAAAGCACUUGAAGCCACUGUUGAUAUUGGUACUGCUAAAACAUCCCUUGCCAUUUUUGAGAGAAUGGACAAUCUCUCAUUGUUUACCUUCAACCAUCUAAGGAUAUCAAAAUCAUCUUUAUCAUCCAUAGUACUCUCACUCACAUAUAUUUGUAGCUCAGUCUGUUUAAGGCUUCAACCACUCUCCAUUCUUUGCCUUUUCAGUUCACUUUUCAACCUAGAUUGUUGGGCAGUAGAGGAACUAGAUGGU